GCAGAGUUGUGAGUAUCUCUAUCUCUGACCGGAAUUGCUGGGCCACAGCUUCUGAUGGCUUCAAUAUUUUCACAGCCAGUUGCUUGCCAUCUGGAAGGCACCCUUUGUAAACCUGACUGCUGCCUCCUUUUCCAAUCAAAUUCUCUGGCAGGAAAUCAGAUGUUGCUGAACAAAGCUCCUGGUAAUUGAACAAUCUACACAUUGAUGAGUACCUUUCAGAAAG
rnacentral:misc_RNA from 1 species